rnacentral:rRNA from 1 species
GAUGAACGCUGGCGGCGUGCCUAAUACAUGCAAGUCGAGCGAACAGAUAAGGAGCUUGCUCCUUUGACGUUAGCGGCGGACGGGUGAGUAACACGUGGGUAACCUACCUAUAAGACUGGGAUAACUUCGGGAAACCGGAGCUAAUACCGGAUAACAUUUGGAACCGCAUGGUUCUAAAGUGAAAGAUGGUUUUGCUAUCACUUAUAGAUGGACCCGCGCCGUAUUAGCUAGUUGGUAAGGUAACGGCUUACCAAGGCAACGAUACGUAGCUGACCUGAGAGGGUGAUCAGCCACACUGGAACUGAGACACGGUCCAGACUCCUACGGGAGGCAGCAGUAGGGAAUCUUCCGCAAUGGGCGAAAGCCUGACGGAGCAACGCCGCGUGAGUGAUGAAGGGUUUCGGCUCGUAAAACUCUGUUAUUAGGGAAGAACAAACGUGUAAGUAACUGUGCCCGUCUUGACGGUACCUAAUGAGAAAGCCACGGCUAACUACGUG